rnacentral:lncRNA from 1 species
CGCAUGUUCUCACUCAUAAGUGAGAGGGGCUUCAGGCUGAAAAUGUGAUUUCUUUCCAAGUAUUUAUCUUCACACCAUAACACUUUGGAUGUGGAAGUUAUUAAAAAGGAAUUUUACAUGAGAAAGCACGCUUGAUGAAGAACAUCUAUGAAUUCUAGCACUUCUACAGAAAAGUAAACUGUUACUCACGUACUGUUCCCAUGUGAAGUAUCAUUGGCAGAGAGAACAUGGGAGAGGAGAGGCAAAUCCUUACUCCCUUAGGCUGGAGAAGUGGUGGUGUGAACAGCCAGAAAUACCCAAUCAGGCAGACAUUUAUCCCUGCGGGCUAUUUCUUGGCUGCGCAUGGGUUGAAGACUCAGGUUCAGACAGGAUAGAAUCCUUGUUUCCCUUAGGUCUUUGAUGCCUGAUAUGCUCAAGAGGCUCUGUGUUUCACUUCUUCCCAUAUGUGAACUUCAAGAUCUAGGCUUGAAAUUAUAAAAGGUGGUGAGAGGUCUCUAUUUGGCUACCAAUCCCAAGAUAUACCCUCCAAUUCAACUUUGCAAAGGAAUAAAAUGGGUAACAAAUUUUAACUCA